CCUGGUUUAUCCUGCCAGUAGUCAUAUGCUUUUCUCAAAGAUUAAGCCAUGCGUGUGCAAGUAUGAACUAAGUCACACCGUGAAACUGCGAAUGGCUCAUUAAAUCAAUUACAGUUUGUUCGAUGGUACUUGCUACUAGUAUAAUCAUAGUAAUUGUAGAGCUAAUACGUGCAACACUCCCCGACUUCCGGAAGUGAUGCAUUUAUUUGAUAAAAGGCCUACGCGGGCUUGCCCCGCCGUUCUGAUGAUUCAUGAUAACUCGACGGAUCACAUGGCCCUCUUGCAGGCGAAGCAUCAUUCAAAUUUCUUCCCUAUCAACUUUCGAUGGUAGGAUAGGGGCCUACCAUGGUGGUGAUGGGUGAUGGAGAAAUAGGGUUCAAGUCCUGAGAGGGAGCCUGAGAAACGGCUACCACAUUCAAGGAAGGCAGCAAGCAUGCAAAUUACUCAAUCUUGACAAUGGGAGGUAGUGACAAUAAAUAACAUUACCGGGCCCUUCGGGUCUGGUAAUUUGAAUGAUUACAAUCUAAAUCCCUUAACGAGGAUCCAUUGGAGGACAAGUCUAGUACCAGCAGCCGCGGUAAUUCCAGCUCCAAUAGCAUAUAUUUAAUUUGUUGCAGUUAAAAAGCUCGUAGUUAGACCUUGGGCCGAGGUGGUCGGUCCGUCUCCCGGUGUGCACCAGCUGUUCCAGCCCCCUUGUCGGUGAUGCGCUCCUGGACUUAGCUGGUCGGGUCGACCUCUGGUGCUGUUACUUUGAAGAAAUUAGAGUGCUUAAAGCAAACCCAUGCUCCGGAUAAAUUAGCAUGGGAUAAUAUCAUAGGAUUCCGGUCCUAUUGCAUUGGCCUUCAGGAUAGGAGUAAUGAUUAGAAGGAUAGUCAGGGGCAUUCUUAUUUCAUAUUCAGAGGUUAAUUUCUUGGAUUUAUGAAAGAUGAACCACUGCGAAAGCAUUUGGCAAGGAUGUUUUCAUUGAUUAAGAAUGAAAGUUGGGGGAUCGAAGACGAUCAGAUACCAUCAUAGUAUCAACCAUAUGCGAUGUCGACCAGGGAUUGACAGAUGUUGCGUUUAGGACUCCGCCGGUACCUUAUGGGAAAUCAAAGUCUUUGGGUUCCGGGGAGAGUAUGGUCGCAAGGCUGAAACUUAAAGGAAUUGGCGAAAAAGCACCAGCAGGAGUGGAGCCAGUGGCUUAAUUUGACUCAACACGGGGAAACUUACCAGCUCCAGACAUAGCAAGGAUUGAUAGACUGAGAGCUCUUUCGUGAUUCUAUGGGUGGUGGUGCGAUUUGUCUGGUUAAUUCCAAUAACAAAAGAGACCUCAGCCUACUAACUAGCUAUACGGAGGAAUCCCUCCGCGGCCAGCUUCUUAGAGGGACUAUGGCCGUUUAGGUCACGAAAGUUUGAGGCAAUAACAGGUCUGUGAUGCCCUUAGAUAUUCUGAGCCACACGCAAGCUACACUAAUGUAUUCAAUGAGUCGAUAGCCUUGGCCGAAAGGCCUGGGUAAUCUUGAAAAAUUUCAUCAUGAUGGGGAUAUAUCAUUGAAAUUGUUGGUCUUUGAUGAGUGCUCGUGUUAUAGUAACACGAAGCGUUAUUAUCUUACAAUAAAUAAUUCUUUUAUCAGAUUUUAUCACUAAAUGGUGUGCAUUUGUGUAUUCUUAUGCAUUGUAGGUUUGUGGAGCUAUUUUGGAGAAGAAGAAUGAAGUUAGAUCGUGUUU
rnacentral:rRNA from 1 species